rnacentral:rRNA from 1 species
AUUGAACGCUGGCGGCAUGCCUUACACAUGCAAGUCGAACGACGCUAGGGGCAACUCUAGCGAGUGGCGAACGGGUGAGUUAUACAUCGGAACGUGUCCUGUCGAGGGGGAUAACCAGUCGAAAGAUUGGCUAAUACCGCAUGACCUCGUAAGAGAAAAGCGGGGGACCGCAAGGCCUCGCGCGAUUGGAGCGGCCGAUGUCGGAUUAGCAAGUUGGCGGGGUAAGAGCCCACCAAGGCGACGAUCCGUAGCUGGUUUGAGAGAACGACCAGCCACACUGGGACUGAGACACGGCCCAGACUCCUACGGGAGGCAGCAGUGGGGAAUUUUGGACAAUGGGCGCAAGCCUGAUCCAGCCAUGCCGCGUGUGUGAAGAAGGCCUUCGGGUUGUAAAGCACUUUCGGCCGGAACGAAAUCGCCCGUGUUAACAGCGCGGGUGGAUGACGGUACCGGAAGAAGAAGCACCGGCUAACUACGUGCCAGCCGCCGCUGUAAAAC